rnacentral:tRNA from 2 species
GGAGGAGUGGCCGAGUGGCUUAAGGCGCCGGUCUUGAAAAUCGGUAGUGAAAACAUUCUAGAGUUCGAAUCUCUACUCCUCCG